UACGAAGGGGGCUAGCGUUGCUCGGAAUCACUGGGCGUAAAGCGCACGUAGGCGGAUCUUUAAGUCAGGGGUGAAAUCCUGGAGCUCAACUCCAGAACUGCCUUUGAUACUGGGGAUCUCGGGUCCGGAAGAGGUGAGUGGAACUCCGAGUGUAGAGGUGAAAUUCGUAGAUAUUCGGAAGAACACCAGUGGCGAAGGCGGCUCACUGGUCCGGUACUGACGCUGAGGUGCGAAAGCGUGGGGAGCAAACAGG
rnacentral:rRNA from 1 species